rnacentral:tRNA from 1 species
GAGGUAUUAGUUAAUUAUAACAUUACCUUGUCAAGGUAAAAUAAUGGGUUAAAUCCCCAUAUACCUCU